GCAGCGGAGGAGGGAGGCGCGGCUCGUGUUGCUGCGUGAUCAGCUGGAGUCGGCACGCCAGCGUCUGCAAAUCCUCGCGCUGCGUCUCCAGGACGUGUCCGCCACCGAGCGACAACGCAGAACGGCUGAUGGUGGAGAAGCAUCCCGAUCGGAGGAGGAAGCCGAGAGGGACGGCUCCGGGAGUUCGGACGAGGUUUCUCCGAUUCGCGGCGACCUCUCUCACGUGCUGAAGGAGAUACGCGGCCUGCGCACGUCCAUCCUGCUCGAGUCGAUGCUAGAGGGCAUGGCCCCCGACCUG